CACGUAGGGUGCGAGCGUUGUCCGGAAUUACUGGGCGUAAAGCGCGUGUAGGCGGAUGAGCAAGUCUGCUGUGAAAGCUCCUGGCUUAACCGGGAGUGGUCGGUGGAAACUGCUCGUCUGGAGGACGGUAGAGGUAGGUAGAAUUCCCGGUGUAGUGGUGAAAUGCGUAGAGAUCGGGAGGAAUACCUGUGGCGAAGGCGGCCUACUGGGCCGGACCUGACGCUGAGACGCGAAGGCGUGGGGAGCAAACGGG
rnacentral:rRNA from 1 species